CUCUCUUUCUCUCCCUUUGGAGUGAAGGUUUGCCUUUCCCUGAUGUGGAGUUUACAUGUGUUCUUUUUCUUUCAUUAGCACCAAGGUCCAUGCAGCCUUCUGUCUCAGCAUAUGUGCCACUUUGAUGAGGAGCUCUUUAUUUUACAGGGAUAUAUGGUCUUACUGUGGUCUUAAUUGUGUAUUUGUAUAAACAGUAUAUUUCAUUAAACAUUGAAAAGACA